UGAAUACGAGACGCUAAGGCGUCGAAGUAGUGUAUGUCAUACUUCCAAGAAAAGCUUGCACUGUCAUAGAUAAAAAACGCCUGUACCAUAACCGACACAGGUGGGUAGGUAGAGUAUACUAAGGGGCGCGAGAUAACUCUCUCUAAGGAACUCGGCAAAAUAACUCCGUAACUUCGGGAGAAGGAGUGCCUUAUUCUUAAGGUUGCAAUAACAAGAUCCAAGCAACUGUUUAUCAAAAACACAGGUCUCCGCUAAGUCGUAAGACAAUGUAUGGGGGCUGACGCCUGCCCAGUGCCAGAAGGUUAAAGAAGCUGGUUAGCAUUUGCGAAGCUAGUAACUGAAGCCCUGGUGAACGGCGGCCGUAACAAUAACGGUCCUAAGGUAGCGAAAUUCCUUGUCGGGUAAGUUCCGACCCGCACGAAAGGCGUAAUGAUUUGGAUACUGUCUCGGAGAGGGGCUCGGUGAAAUAGACUUGUCUGUGAAGAUGCGGACUACCUGCACCAGGACAGAAAGACCCUAUGAAGCUUUACUGUAACUUGAAAUUGAAAUUGGACUUUAUUCGCGCAGUAUAGGUGGGAGGCGUUGAUUAUAAUCUUGCGGGAUUAUUGGAGCCAUUAGUGAGAUACCACUCUUGUAAUGUUAGAUUUCUAACUUUGAAUCAUUAUCUGGUCAAAGAACAGUUUCAGGCGGGCAGUUUGACUGGGGCGGUCGCCUCCCAAACGGUAACGGAGGCGUACAAAGGUUUCCUCUGAACGGUUAGAAAUCGUAUCUAGAGUGUAAGGCAUAAGGAAGCUUGACUGUGAGACCUACAAGUCGAGCAGGGACGAAAGUCGGUCUUAGUGAUCUGACGGUACUGAGUGGAAAGGCCGUCACUCAACGGAUAAAAGUUACUCUAGGAUAACAGGCUGAUCUCCCCCAAGAGUUCACAUCGACGGGGAGGUUUGGCACCUCGAUGUCGGCUCAUCGCAUCCUGGGGCGGUAGUACGUCCCAAGGGUUGGGCUGUUCGCCCAUGAAAGCGGUACGCGAGCUGGGUUCAGAACGUCGUGAGACAGUUCGGUCCAUAUCCGGUGUAGGCGUUAGAAUAUUGAGAGGAGCCUUCUUUAGUACGAGAGGACCGAGAAGGACAUACCUCUGGUGUACCUGUUAUCGUGCCAACGGUAGACGCUGGGUAGCUAUGUAUGGAGUGGAUAACCGCCGAAAGCAUCUAAGUGGGAAGCCCACCUCAAGAUAAGUAUUCUCAUC
rnacentral:rRNA from 1 species